CUGCAGGACUUUAUCCAACAUGUUCUGAAUGCAACCCAGACACUUUAAUUAAGCUAAGACCUC
rnacentral:tRNA from 1 species